GGGCGAUUGACGCAAUUGGUUAGCGUGCUUCCUUUACACGGAAGAAGUUACAGGUUCGAGUCCUGUAUCGCCCAC
rnacentral:tRNA from 3 species